rnacentral:rRNA from 1 species
AGGAAAAGAAACCAACAGGGAUUGCCCCAGUAACGGCGAGUGAAGCGGCAACAGCUCAAAUUUGAAAUCUGGCCCCCGGGUCCGAGUUGUAAUUUGUAGAGGAUGCUUUUGGCAAGGUGCCUUCCGAGUUCCCUGGAACGGGACGCCAUAGAGGGUGAGAGCCCCGUCUGGUCGGACACCGCGCCUCUGUAAAGCUCCUUCGACGAGUCGAGUAGUUUGGGAAUGCUGCUCUAAAUGGGAGGUAUAUGUCUUCUAAAGCUAAAUACCGGCCAGAGACCGAUAGCGCACAAGUAGAGUGAUCGAAAGAUGAAAAGCACUUUGAAAAGAGAGUUAAAAAGUACGUGAAAUUGUUGAAAGGGAAGCGAUUGUGACCAGACUUGGGCCUGUUUGAUCAGCUUGGGUUCUCCCGGGUGCACUCUUUCAGGCCUGGGCCAGCAUCAGUUCGUGGCGGGGGACAAAUGACUCGGGAAUGUGGCUCCCCCCGGGGAGUGUUAUAGACCGUAUCGUAAUACCCUGCGUCGGACUGAGGGCCGCGCACUUCGGUGCAAGGAUGCUGGCG